rnacentral:rRNA from 1 species
AAUGAACGCUGGCGGCAGGCCUAACACAUGCAAGUCGAACGAGUGGCGGACGGGUGAGUAAUGGCUGGGAAACUGCCUGAUGGAGGGGGAUAACGACUGGAAACGGUAGCUACUAACGCAUACCCACAGCUGUGCCCAGAUGGGCUUAGCUAGUUGGGGGGGGAACGGCUCACCAAGGCGACGAUCCAUAGCUGGUCUGAGAGGAUGACCAGCCACACUGGAACUGAGACACGGUCCAGACUCCUACGUGAGGCAGCAGUGGGGAAUAUUGCACAAUGGGCGCAAGCCUGAUGCAGCCAUGCCGCGUGUAUGAAGAAGGCCUUCGGGUUGUAAAGUACUUUCAGCGGGGAGGCGUUACCCGCAGAAGAAGCACCGGCUAACUCCGUGCCAGCAGCCGCGGUAAUUC